rnacentral:rRNA from 1 species
GUAAUCGCGGAUCAGCAUGCCGCGGUGAAUACGUUCCCGGGCCUUGUACACACCGCCCGUCACACCAUGGGAGUUUGUAACGCCCAAAGUCGGUGGCCUAACCUUUAUGGAGGGAGCCGCCUAAGGCGGAACAGAUGACUGGGGUGAAGUCGUAACAAGGUACC